rnacentral:rRNA from 1 species
AGAGUUUGAUCCUGGCUCAGAACGAACGCUGGCGGCGUGGAUAAGACAUGCAAGUCGAACGGGACAGUCUUGUAGCAAUAUGAGACUGUUCAGUGGCGAACGGGUGCGUAACACGUGGGUCACAUUCCGGGAAGUGAGAAAUAGCCCAGGGNAAACUUGGAUUAAUAUCUCAUGUGGUCGCAAGACUAAAGGCGCAAGCCGCUUCCUGAUUGGCCCGCGGCCUAUCAGCUUGUUGGUGAGGUAAUGGCUCACCAAGGCAGCGACGGGUAGCUGGUCUGAGAGGACGACCAGCCACACUGGAACUGAGACACGGUCCAGACACCUACGGGUGGCAGCAGUCGAGAAUCUUUCACAAUGGGGGAAACCCUGAUGGAGUGACGCCGCGUGGAGGUUAAGGUCUUCGGAUUGUAAACUCCUGUCAUGCGAGAACAAAGCCCGCAAGGGUGUGAUAGUACCGCAAGAGGAAGAGACGGCUAACUCUGUGCCAGCAGCCGCGGUAAUACAGAGGUCUCAAGCGUUGUUCGGAAUUACUGGGCGUAAAGGGUGCGCAGGCCGCGCGGGCAGUCAAAUGUGUAAUUCAGGGGCUCAACCCCUGCACUGCGCUUGAUACUUCCGCGCUCGAGCUUUGGAGAGGAGUCUGGAAUUCUCGGUGUAGCAGUGAAAUGCGU